rnacentral:rRNA from 1 species
ACGGGAGGCAGCAGUGGGGGAUAUUGCACAAUGGGGGAAACCCUGAUGCAGCGACGCCGCGUGAGUGAUGAAGUAUUUCGGUAUGUAAAGCUCUAUCAGCAGGAAAGAUAAUGACGGUACCUGACUAAGAAGCACCGGCUAAAUACGUGCCGGCAGCCGCGGUAAUACGUAUGGUGCAAGCGUUAUCCGGAUUUACUGGGUGUAAAGGGAGCGCAGACGGCAUGGCAAGCCAGAUGUGAAAUGCGGGGGCUCAACUCCUGAACUGCAUUUGGAACUGUCAAGCUAGAGUAUCGGAGAGGUAAGUGGAAUUCCUAGUGUAGCGGUGAAAUGCGUAGAUAUUAGGAGGAACACCAGUGACGAAGGCGGCUUACUGGACGAUAACUGACGUUGAGGCUCGAAAGCGUGGGGAGCAAACAGGAUUAGAUACCCUGGUA